rnacentral:rRNA from 1 species
GUCUACAGCCAUGCCACCCUGAACAAGCCCUAUCCUGUCUGAUCUUGGGAGCUAAGCAAGGUCGGGUCUGGUUAGUACUUGGAUGGGAGACCACCUAGGAAGACCAGGUGCUGUAGGCA